rnacentral:rRNA from 1 species
CUACGGGGCGCUGCAGUGGGGAAUAUUGCACAAUGGGCGCAAGCCUGAUGCAGCCAUGCCGCGUGUAUGAAGAAGGCCUUCGGGUUGUAAAGUACUUUCAGCGGGGAGGAAGGGAGUAAAGUUAAUACCUUUGCUCAUUGACGUUACCCGCAGAAGAAGCACCGGCUAACUCCGUGCCAGCAGCCGCGGUAAUACGGAGGGUGCAAGCGUUAUCGGAAUUACUGGGCGUAAAGCGCACGCAGGCGGUUUGUUAAGUCAGAUGUGAAAUCCCCGGGCCCAACCUAGGAACUGCAUCUGAUACUGGCAAGCUUGAGUCUCAUAGAGGGGGGUAGAAUUCCAGGUGUAGCGGUGAAAUGCGUAGAGAUCUGGAGGAAUACCGGUGGCGAAGGCGGCCCCCUGGACGAAGACUGACGCUCAGGUGCGAAAGCGUGGGGAGCAAACAGGAUUAGAUACCCGCGUAGUC